UGCUGGAGCAGCUGUGUGAAGACGUAAAGCUUUCACAGAAGCUUCUCUCACACGAGAAAAUCAAGGCCCAUAGGAAGAAGGAGACACAGUUGAAGAACUCCAUCCUUUUUGCUUUGUGGACACGGUACCAGGAUAAUGAGUUAUCAACCGUGGAACUACUGGAGGAAAUAGUGUUAGAACUGAGAACCUCAUUCCCAACUGUAGUCACUGACCAUCCUUUAAACCUGAAUGAUGAAAACAUAGAUAAUUAUGACAUGUCAUUUGUGAGCGAUGAUGAAAUGUAAAUUUAACAUUCAACUGAUUUUUAAAACAUAUUAUCUUAUUUUUAUUGAUGUAUAAAAUGUAUUGGCACUGGUUACCUGAAUAGCAUUCAGGUUCCCAAUCUUUUGCCUUGUCAAUUGUUUCCGUCUUUCUUUAAAACUUCUGUUCAGUUAUCCCAGCAAAUACCUUGAAAUGAAAUAAAAUUAAAACAAAUCGAA
rnacentral:lncRNA from 1 species